AACGAACGCUGGCGGCAGGCCUAACACAUGCAAGUCGAACGCUCGUAGCAAUACGGGAGUGGCAGACGGGUGAGUAACGCGUGGGAACCUACCCUUUGGUUCGGAAUAGCCCAGGGAAACUUGGGGUAAUACCGGAUAAGCCCUUCGGGGGAAAGAUUUAUCGCCAUUGGAUGGGCCCGCGUCGGAUUAGCUAGUUGGUGGGGUAACGGCCUACCAAGGCGACGAUCCGUAGCUGGUCUGAGAGGAUGAUCAGCCACACUGGGACUGAGACACGGCCCAGACUCCUACGGGUGGCAG
rnacentral:rRNA from 1 species